ensembl:ncRNA C44H4.10 ncRNA
ACUCAAACAUACAUGAACUUCUCUAAUAUUGUUAUUUGAAAGAGAAACCAUGCGGAGGAAUGGAGCUCCUUUUAAAGUUUGUUGAGAGACUUCAGUCAGGCAAUUGUUUGGAAGCCAGAGCAAAAGGAGUGGGGUUCCAGCAAAAGCUCCUGGAGCAACAGCACUGAUUCUGUUGCUGUCAAGAUUCAAAUGCUGAAUGCUUUCAAGUCCCUCGAACAUUUCU